UGCGAAGGGGGCUAGCGUUGCUCGGAAUCACUGGGCGUAAAGGGUGCGUAGGCGGGUCUUUAAGUCAGGGGUGAAAUCCUGGAGCUCAACUCCAGAACUGCCUUUGAUACUGAGGAUCUUGAGUUCGGGAGAGGUGAGUGGAACUGCGAGUGUAGAGGUGAAAUUCGUAAAUAUUCGCAAGAACACCAGUGGCGAAGGCGGCUCACUGGCCCGAUACUGACGCUGAGGCACGAAAGCGUGGGGAGCAAACAGG
rnacentral:rRNA from 1 species